CUUGUGGCUGCCAAGUCAAAGCCUUGCUGCUGGCUCUCAUACCGAAGGACCCGGAUCAUCAUCUGAGUCACUUGGCGAAGAAGCAGCCCUGACUCAGGAUCCACAUGUGAGAGCAGAAGGCACCUACCUUUCUUUCUACCUGUAAAGUAAGAUGAACCACAUUUAUGUUCCUCAAAUAAUGGCAAUUAGUACCUAACAUUGUACAUAAUGUCAUGAAAUAACCUUGCCUCACUGUUCUUUCCUGAAGGAAAUUAGUGGUUUUGAUCUAUGGAUGGACAAUCUCAAAUCUUGUGUCUAACCCCUGACAUUCAACCCUGUCCAGAGUCACGGGCAGAUUGCACGAAUGACAGCUUCCCUUUCUGACCACAGUGGAAUUAACAGAGACUCAUCUACUGUCCUCAGUGGUGACCUAGAGGAGUGACCUUCUCCAGCUGCAAAGGUGCAUGCAACUCCCUUUGGCCACCUGCGCUGACUUUCUCAGGUUGCAGUGAGAGAACAGCACCACGAAGAUGGAAAGAGGGAGAGUGUUUUUGUCUGGCCAUGGGAGUGUUCCAACAUCACAGAUAUUCCCUGAACUCAAACUGAAAGCUGUGCUCUCCAUCCCAAACCUUGGCUAUGAGGAUUUCCGCCACUUUAGCCACGCCAUUGAGCCUGUUGAAGGAGCUUGAGGAGACGAUUCAGCAGCAGACUGUAAAUAUGGCCAAGACUUUGAGAACACAAACUGGGAACCCUUGCAGAUGAGACAUAACCCACCUCAUUAUUCUCAGCAUGAGGAGACCUGUUUUCUUG